AAGAUGCAGAGAUGUGUCCUCUCUCGGAGACAGGAAGACAGGUGGUGCAUGACUGUCGUCAGCUCGUGUCGUGAGAUGUUGGGUUAAGUCCCGCAACGAGCGCAACCUUGCCUUUAGUAGCCCAGCAGUUCGGCUGGGCACUCUAGAGGGACUCCCAGGGAUAACUGGAGGAAGGUGGGGAUGACGUCAAAUCAUCAUGCCCAUUAUGAUUUGGGCUACACACGUGCUACAAUGGCGUAAACAAAGGGAAGCGACCCUGUGAAGGUAAGCAAAUCUCAAAAAUAACGUCUCAGUUCGGAUUGUAGUCUGCAACUCGACUACAUGAAGCUGGAAUCGCUAGUAAUCGCGAAUCAGCAUGUCGCGGUGAAUACGUUCCCGGGUCUUGUACACACCGCCCGUCACACCAUGGGAGUCGGAAAUGCCCGAAGUCCGUGACCUAACCGUAAGGAAGGAGCGGCCGAAGGCAGGUCUGAUAACUGGGGUGAAGUCGUAACAAGGUAACCUA
rnacentral:rRNA from 1 species